AUUGAACGCCGGCGGCAUGCCUUACACAUGCAAGUCGAACGGCAGCGGGGGAGAAGCUUGCUUGUCCUGCCGGCGAGUGGCGAACGGGUGAGUAAUACAUCGGAACGUGCCCUGUAGUGGGGGAUAACUAGUCGAAAGAUUAGCUAAUACCGCAUACGACCUGCGGGUGAAAGUGGGGGACCGCAAGGCCUCAUGCAAUAGGAGCGGCCGAUGUAUGAGUAGCUAGUUGGUGGGGUAAAGGCCUACCAAGGCGACGAUCAGUAGCUGGUCUGAGAGGACGAUCAGCCACACUGGGACUGAGACACGGCCCAGACUCCUACGGGAGGCAGCAGUGGGGAAUUUUGGACAAUGGGCGAAAGCCUGAUCCAGCAAUGCCGCGUGUGUGAAGAAGGCCUUCGGGUUGUAAAGCACUUUUGUCCGGAAAGAAAUGGCUCUGGUUAAUACCUGGGGUCGAUGACGGUACCGGAAGAAUAAGGACCGGCUAACUACGUGCCAGCCGCCGCGGUAA
rnacentral:rRNA from 1 species